AGAGCCAAACAAGUAGAGGGUGUUCACUAAUUAACUGGUUAGUUAAUUACACCCUGUUGCCUCCGAAGAACAUCCUAAAGCUGUGUCCAAUGAUGUAUAAAAUACAGUACAGCAGUUAAACAUAGCUGCAAAAGAAUGGGAACAAAUGAUUGCAGGGAAACAAAGCACACCUAACAAAGAAGCUAAUACAAAGACAUAUAAUAGGGAAAUUUUAGCUUUCUAGAGGGCAAAUCAAUGAAAGAGGAAACCUGGUAAAAAGGGAAACUUCUGAUACCAGCAAGUUAAAAUAGAGCAUUUGCUGUGGAAAAACAUUUGACAUAGUGACCAAUUCUCUGGAUCUCAAUGGAGAGGAAUCGGUGUAUUUACUAUAAGCAGUGUCCUUAACAGAAUCAUUGGGAUAAACACGGUGAUGAGUUGUGCAGGGUCAUUUUAUAUCUGGCUUUGGUCCUGGCCCUAACUACAUCCCCCUCUCCAUUAUAGGAGGGCUGAUCUGUCUUUACAAAUAACAUACUUGGUUGGGAAUAUAAAUCUUUAGUAUUAGCUCUGUAAGAACCAUCUGUUAAGAAUAGUUGUAUCCAUCCCAAACAAAGCAUAAAAAUGCAUGAUUUUUCACUGAGUUUAGAGCUGUGUCAGAAGCUGUCUUGAGUAUCUUUUGGUAACUGGGAACCUUCCACUCCACAUACAGAGGAGGGAAACUGUCCUUUUAGACUGUCAAGAAUUUUAGCAUUUGAUGGGAUGUCAGAAUAUUUUUCAGAAGAAAUUGAGAUCUACAGAAAUAAAGUGGUGUCCCCAAGAUUAAACAGAAAAUGGAAGAUUGCAUUGUAGACUCCUGCAAAUUUGGGACGUCAGUUUCAAACAUCAUAAAACCAGGACCAAAAGCCAGUAAGGUGAUAACCUUCAAACGGCCAUUACUGUUGCAAAGAAUUCUGAAAUGAUCCCUCCAGGCAGCCAAGUGAUCAUUGUUGAGGCCGAUGAACCAGAAGAAUUUGUUCCUGCCUCUGUGACCUGGCAGCUGGUGGAGAACCAAGAGACUGGACCUGGGAAGAAAGUGAGCAAAUGUUAGAAGGCCCCUCCGUGGGCCUAGACUGAUGGAAUACAGUCCUGGCACUGCUCAGCCUUCUCUCAACUCCAGGAGUCAUCUCAGUAAUAAUCCCUCACAUCUGUCCAGAGUUUGACAGUUUGCAAAGCAUUUCUGCCAGCUCUGGUUGCCUAGGAAAAUCACCUGGGGGAGUUUCUAAGCUUCCAGUGCAGGCUGCACCAAUUAAAUCAGAACCCCUGGGGUAGGAACUGGCAUCAGGUGCUUUUCCCAGCAAUUCCAGUGUGCAGUCAUGGCUGAGAACUACUGAUUUAUACUCAUAUUUUCCACUUGGUCAUUAAAAUAACCCUAUGCAAUUGGGCAAACCAUUAAUUUUUACAGAUGAGAAAACUGAGGCUCAGAGCAGUAAGAUUGCCCAAUACAAAAACUGGUGAGUUGCAGAGCAGGAAAGCAGACUUAGGCCUAUUUGAUUCCACACAGAUCCACGGGCAUUUAGAUUGUACUAUACCUAUGACAUGAAGCUAACAGAGGCUGGGCUUUUCUAGAUAGAAAGCUCCCUAUGCUCUUGUGACAGAAUAGCUUUUUCAUAAGACAAUGGGCUGUAGCCUUACAUUCCAUCACUAAAGGUAACACCCAUGCUUUUGUGUGAAUUCAAAGAUAUGGCCCUACAGGUGAUGAAUUACAAAAAUGCUGCCUUCCUCCAGGCUGACCAGCCUUUCAGAUUGUUAAGUAUAGAGCGGGCCUUUGUGCAGUCAGGAGUCUUUCUGCAGCACACAAACUGCACAGCUAUACAGAAUGGCCCUGCCCCUACCCUGGGAAGAGGUGGGUUAACUUGCCUCAACCUCUAAUUGCAUGGGCUGUGAAAGAUGACAGCUCUCCCUCUGCUCUCAGCAGAUUUCUGGUGCUUAUUUCCUUGUGAACCUACUUGCUUCUCCAUCGGUGCAUGCUGCCUGAAUUUCACUGCAUGCUGUAACCCAGGUCCUUUGUGAAUUUUAACUAACAGUCCACUCACACUACUCAUUCAUGAAUUUAAUGCCUCUGCUGAAAUUUUAGUCCCCACCAGGAGAAGCUGUAUCACAGUUUCAGGCCUUCCUCCUCUCUGGGUCCCUCCACCAUACUUCCUCUCCCCACAUUCCCAGUGCAAGCAAAAGGAAUUCCUGCCCUUGUCUCAGGAGGGAUGCUUUAGAACAUGUCUUUUGUUGGUUAUUUUGCAAUUGGAGAUAGAAAGGGAGGGGUGUGUCAUCUUGCCUCCCAAUUCAGCACAGCAAUUUUUUUUUCUUUCAACUACAAUGCUUUCCCUGAGAUGAAGUCAUCUGAUGAAUAAAAUUUUCUCACCUCCUGCAA
rnacentral:lncRNA from 1 species